rnacentral:misc_RNA from 1 species
AACACUGUUAACCUGCGGUACCUGCGGAAGGAUCAUUACAGAGUUGCAAAACUCCCUAAACCAUUGUGAACGUUACCUAAACCGUUGCUUCGGCGGGCGGCCCGGGUCCUUCCCGGCGCCCCUCGGCCCUCGCGGGCGCCCGCCGGAGGUAAACCAAACUAUUGCAUUGUAUGGCCUCUCUGAGUCUUCUGUACUGAAUAAGUCAAAACUUUUAGCAAUGGAUCUCAGAUCGGAAGAGCA